rnacentral:rRNA from 1 species
UACGAAGGGGGCUAGCGUUGCUCGGAAUCACUGGGCGUAAAGGGUGCGUAGGCGGGUCUUUAAGUCAGGGGUGAAAUCCUGGAGCUCAACUCCAGAACUGCCUUUGAUACUGAAGAUCUUGAGUUCGGGAGAGGUGAGUGGAACUGCGAGUGUAGAGGUGAAAAUUCGUAGAUAUUCGGAAAGAACACCAGUGGCGAAGGCGGCUCACUGGACUGGUAUUGACGCUGAGGUGCGAAAAGCGUGGGGAGCAACAGGGAUUAAGAUACCCGGUAC